GAAUCAUGGAAUCUUUGAACGCGCCUUGCGCUCCUUGGUAUUCCGAGGAGCAUGCCUGUUUGAGUGUCAU
rnacentral:rRNA from 1 species